AAGUAGAUACCUAAGAGGUUAAAAGGAAUAGAUUGUAGAUCUAUUGAAUGUUUUCUUCAUCAGUUCGAAUCUGAUUCUACUUA
rfam:Theileria equi strain WA gcontig_1105316255047 apicoplast, whole genome shotgun sequence.